GGGGCCUCGGCGCAGAGCUGCGGGGAGGCGCCCGACAGCCCGCGAGGUGCGCGGCUCUCUUUACUCGGCGUUUCCACGCUGCCCUGCGCGUGGGGCGCGACGCCUUCCGGGUUGAUGGGGACAUACGUGCAGGGGCGGCCCUGAAGACAACCUCUCUGCUGUGGGGAGGGAUUCCUGUCACCACUCCGUUCCCCCAACCACCGUAAAUCCGCACCCAGUCGGACCAGGUUCAGACCUAGGACCCUUGAGCGACAAACUGCCCUGCAGCCCGCGAGCCCAGGUACGGAGCUCCGAAGAGGAGUCCCCCGGACCUCCCUCUGCAAGUGUUACUGCUCUGAGGGUCGUUGCAGGACAGAAAUUGCAUCCUCAGAAUCAAACCCCGUUCAUAGACUCACAGUCAGACACACUUGUAGCACCCGCCGAGAUGCACCGCAAACGGACAGACACCUGUCUCCUCCACAUGGACAAAGCUGAAAGGGGAAGGUCUUCUUGGCCCCAGGAGACUCAUCCGACUUGUACUGGGAGAAAGUGGUCCUUGGGGGACAACAGGGAAGCAGCUGCUGCCCAGGUGUGUGAUCACAUUUGGGCACCCUGGAGGGAGCAGGUGGAGGCCAGGUGUGAGAUGUCCCCAGUUGCCUGAUGAUAAUCCUGAGGCCCACACGUAUGAGUCUGCGUGGAGCCCAUGUUCACAGACUUUUUCUAGAGAAACAGUCCUAGAGAAGGAAAGAGCCGGCCAGCAGGUGAGAAUUCUGGGGUGCACUGCAGAGCUGCAGGUCAGGCCUACCUUUUCCACAGGAGCAGUGCUGGGGAGAGCCUUACACCCAGUGGCCAUCACCAUGGGGUGGGUGGGAUGAGGAAGGCCUCUGCAGAUGCUCAAAGACAAGAGGAUUCAAUAAGGGUGAUAGCUCUGGAGACAGCACAAGAUGACAGAAGGGAAAAAGGGGUUCUAAUCCUGAUUUGCUGUGUGACCUCAAGCCAUAAUAAUAUUAAUAACAACAGCCAACUCAGGUUGAGCGCUCAGUGUACCAGGCAUCCUAAACCCUCCCCCAGGUAACCCCAUUCAAUCCUCAGAACAGUACUCUGAGAUAGACACUAGUAUUGCCCCAUUUUCAGGUGAGGAAAUCAAGGACUAGAAAGGUAAAACUUGGCCACCAUCACAAGGAGAGUAGGGUGGAACCAGGACCCAAAUCCAUGACUUUCUGACCCCCAAGCCUCAUGCCUUAAGCACCUGCCACCUGGCCUCAAUUUGGCAAAUAGCUUAGCCUCUCCAAGCCUCGGCGUCCUCCCCUGAAUAGGCAGUACCAGGCUCAUGGUACAGAUUCAGUAACUAUUGUGCAAUGAAUGAAUGAAUGCCCUACCCCUCAGGGUAACUGUGAGGACUGCAGCCUGUGGAGUUCCUGCAUGCAGCAGGCAUUUCCAUGCCUUCAACAGCUCGUCUAAGGAACCUCUGUGGAGCCCCAGGCCCAAAGAAGCAAAAGUUCCCUACUCCACCCAUAUAGACACCUAAGUAUUUCCGGCUGAGACCUCCUCCCUCAUUGGUCCUUUCUUGCUUUCCUUUCAGAGCCACCAACAUGCCUUGACCUGGACAGCUACCAGAUUGAUUGAGUACACGUGGGAGACACCAGACUUUGUUCGCUGUUGGCUGCUUCACAGCUAUGGAUCCUCCAGAUACAGAGGGCUGACCAGAUACUAAGACCACCAAACUGCAUGCUUUAAAUGGUGAAAUUUAUGCUCAGGCCAGAUGCCUCACCCACAGCAGACAGAACAACCUCAAAGCAAGUUACCCCAAGAAAGCAAGCGACCCGCCCACCACGAUAGGAAUCAGCCCUGGAUGGGACAGAUCAACCCCUCGCCGAGCUUCUAAACUCAAGUGACCCAGCACACUGGCAAACGUCUGAGUGUCCACUCUGGACUGGGCCUUGACUCAACCAGGAAAAGACUGAACUGGAACCAUCAACUCUGUCACUAAGAAGUGACCCCAUCCUUUGGUGCUUUGCAACUCUAUGGUCAUACAGGGAAAAGCGACUGAUUGCUUAAAAUUGAAGUAUAGUUGAUUUACAACGUUUCAGGUACACAGCAAAGUGACUCAGUUAUACAUACACAUACAUAUAUUUUCAGAUUCUUUCCCAUUAUAGGUUAUCAUAAGAUAUAAAAUAUAG